rnacentral:rRNA from 1 species
AGACCGAUAGCGAACAAGUAGAGUGAUCGAAAGAUGAAAAGCACUUUGAAAAGAGAGUUAAACAGCACGUGAAAUUGUUGAAAGGGAAGCGCUUGCGACCAGACUUGUGCUCGUCGAAUCAGCCGUCGCUCGUCGGCGGCGCAUUUCGGCGGGCUCAGGCCAGCAUCAGUUCGCUGUAGGGGGAGAAAGGCGGUAGGAAUGUGGCUCUUCGGAGUGUUAUAGCCUGCCGUGUAAUACCCCUCGGCGGACUGAGGACCGCGCAUCUGCAAGGAUGCUGGCGUAAUGGUUGUCAGCGACCCGUCUUGAAACACGGACCAAG